rnacentral:rRNA from 1 species
UGGGGAAUUUUGGACAAUGGGCGAAAGCCUGAUCCAGCAAUGCCGCGUGUGUGAAGAAGGCCUUCGGGUUGUAAAGCACUUUUGUCCGGAAAGAAAUCCUUGGCUCUAAUACAGUCGGGGGAUGACGGUACCGGAAGAAUAAGCACCGGCUAACUACGUGCCAGCAGCCGCGGUAAUACGUAGGGUGCAAGCGUUAAUCGGAAUUACUGGGCGUAAAGCGUGCGCAGGCGGUUUGCUAAGACCGAUGUGAAAUCCCCGGGCUCAACCUGGGAACUGCAUUGGUGACUGGCAGGCUAGAGUAUGGCAGAGGGGGGUAGGAUUCCACGUGUAGCAGUGAAAUGCGUAGAGAUGUGGAGGAAUACCGAUGGCGAAGGCAGCCCCCUGGGCCAAUACUGACGCUCAUGCACGAAAGCGUGGGGAGCAAACAGGAUUAGAUACCCUGGUAGUCCACGCCCUAAAACGAUGUCAACUAGUUGUUGGGGAUUCAUUUCCUUAGUAACGUAGCUAACGCGUGAAGUUGACCGCCUGGGGAGUACGGUCGCAAGAUUAAAACUC